ACGGGUGAGGAACACGUAGGAAUCUACCCUCAAGCGGGGGACAACCAAGGGAAACUUUGGCUAAUACCGCAUAAUCUCGAAAGAGCAAAGCUGCAGCAAUGUGGCACUUGAGGAGGAGCCUGCGUCCGAUUAGCUAGUUGGUAGGGUAAAAGCCUACCAAGGCGAUGAUCGGUAACUGGUCUGAGAGGACGACCAGUCACACUGGGACUGAGACACGGCCCAGACUCCUACGGGAGGCAGCAGUGGGGAAUAUUGGACAAUGGGGGCAACCCUGAUCCAGCGAUGCCGCGUGAGUGAAGAAGGCCUUCGGGUCGUAAAGCUCUUUAGGUUGGGAAGAAGGUUGCGGGAGGAAAUGCCCGUAAUUUGACGGUACCGACAGAAUAAGCACCGGCAAACUCUGUGCCAGCAGCCGCGGUAAUACAGAGGGUGCGAGCGUUAAUCGGAGUUACUGGGCGUAAAGGGCGCGUAGGCGGUUGAGUGUGUGUGAUGAGAAAGCCCCGGGCUUAACCUGGGAAGUGCAUCGCAAACUACUUAACUUGAGUAUAUGAGAGGGUGGCGGAAUUUCCGGUGUAGCG
rnacentral:rRNA from 1 species